rnacentral:lncRNA from 1 species
GCAGCGGAAAAAGGGAGAGAUGAUGAUGCGGUGGAUGGAGAAGCCGAGGGCCCUCAGUUUCUUCUCGAGUGGAGGAGGCUUCAUUGCCAUUGAAAGUUUUGGCCGGUGGAUUGUUUCGUCACCACCGCAUGGAAAUCCAUGAAGGAGGCCUGGAGGGAGAAAACUCUCAAAGGGUUGCGAGGUGUGAGUCUUGAGAAACGGGGCGCAUC